CCUACGGGAGGCAGCAGUGGGGAAUAUUGGGCAAUGGAGGAAACUCUGACCCAGCAACGCCGCGUGAAGGAUGAAGGUUUUCGGAUUGUAAACUUCUGUCGCGAGGGAUGAAGAAUGACGGUACCUGACUAAGAAGCCCCGGCUAACUACGUGCCAGCAGCCGCGGUAAUACGCAGGGGGCAAGCGUUAUCCGGAUUUACUGGGGGUAAAGGGAGCGUAGACGGCGAUGCAAGUCUGAAGUGAAAGGCGGGGGCCCAACCUCCGGACUGCGUUGGAAACUGUAUGGCUUGAGUGCAAGAGAGGUAAGUGGAAUUCCUGGUGUAGCGGUGAAAUGCGUAGAUAUUAGGAGGAACACCAGUGGCGAAGGCGGCUUACUGGACUGUAACUGACGUUGAGGCUCGAAAGCGUGGGGAGCGAACAGGAUUAGAUACCCGAGUAGUC
rnacentral:rRNA from 1 species